AUUGAACGCUGGCGGCAGGCCUAACACAUGCAAGUCGAGCGGCAGCGGAAAGUAGCUUGCUACUUUGCCGGCGAGCGGCGGACGGGUGAGUAAUGUCUGGGAAACUGCCUGAUGGAGGGGGAUAACUACUGGAAACGGUAGCUAAUACCGCAUAACGUCGCAAGACCAAAGAGGGGGACCUUCGGGCCUCUUGCCAUCAGAUGUGCCCAGAUGGGAUUAGCUAGUAGGUGGGGUAACGGCUUACCUAGGCGACGAUCCCUAGCUGGUCUGAGAGGAUGACCAGCCAGACUGGAACUGGUACACGGUCCAGACUCCGACGGGAGGCAGCAGUGGGGAAUAUUGCACAAUGGGCGCAAGCCUGAUGCAGCCAUGCCGCGUGUAUGAAGAAGGCCUUCGGGUUGUAAAGUACUUUCAGCGGGGAGGAAGGUGUUGAGGUUAAUAACCUCAGCAAUUGACGUUACCCGCAGAAGAAGCACCGGCUAACUCCGUGCCAGCCGCCGCCGUAA
rnacentral:rRNA from 1 species